CAGCCGCCGCGGGAAUACGGAGGGUGCAAGCGUUAAUCGGAAUUACUGGGCGUAAAGCGCACGCAGGCGGUCUGACAAGUCAGAUGUGAAAUCCCCGGGCUUAACCUGGGAACUGCAUUUGAAACUGUCAGGCUGGAGUCUUGUAGAGGGGGGUGGAAUUCCAGGUGUAGCGGUGAAAUGCGUAGAGAUCUGGAGGAAUACCGGUGGCGAAGGCGGCCCCCUGGACAAAGACUGACGCUCAGGUGCGAAAGCGUGGGGAGCAAACAGGAUUAGAUACCCCUGUAGUCCCUGUCCUUAUACA
rnacentral:rRNA from 1 species